rnacentral:tRNA from 1 species
AAGGCUUUAGCUUAAUAAAAGUGUUUGAGUUGCAUUCAGAAGAUAUAGAAUAGACAUCUAUAAGUCUUA